GACGAACGCUGGCGGCGUGCUUAACACAUGCAAGUCGAACGGAAAGGCUCUGCUUUUGUGGGGUGCUCGAGUGGCGAACGGGUGAGUAACACGUGAGUAACCUGUCCUUGACUUUGGGAUAACUUCAGGAAACUGGGGCUAAUACCGGAUAGGAGCUCCUGCUGCAUGGUGGGGGUUGGAAAGUUUCGGCGGUUGGGGACGGACUCGCGGUUUAUCAGCUUGUUGGUGGGGUAGUGGCUUACAAAGGCUUGGACGGGUAGCCGGCCUGAGAGGGUGACCGGCCACAUUGGGACUGAGAUACGACCCAGACGCCUACGGGAGGCAGCAGUGGAGAAUAUUGCACGAUGGGCGGAAGCCGGAUGCAGCAACGCCGCGUGCGGGAUGACGGCCUUCGGGGUGUAAACCGCGUGCGCCUGGGACGAAGCGUGAGUGACGGUAAUGGGUAAGGAAGCACCGGCUAACUACGUG
rnacentral:rRNA from 1 species